rnacentral:rRNA from 1 species
GAUGAACGCUGGCGGCGUGCCUAAUACAUGCAAGUCGAGCGAACGGACGAGAAGCUUGCUUCUCUGAUGUUAGCGGCGGACGUGUGAGUAACACGUGGAUAACCUACCUAUAAUACUGGGAUAACUUCGGGACACCGGAGCUAAUACCGUAUGAUAUUUUGAACCGCAUUGUUCAAAAGUGAAAGACGGUCUUGCUGUCACUUAUAGAUGGAUCCGCGCUGCAUUAGCUAGUUGGUAAGGUAACGGCUUACCAAGGCAACGAUGCAUAGCCGACCUGAGAGAGUGAUCGGCCACACUGGAAGUGAGACACGGUCCAGACUCCUACGGGAGGCAGAAGUAGGGACUCUUCCGCAAUGGGCGAAAGCCUGACGGAGCAACGCCGCGUGAGUGAUGAAGGUCUUCGGAUCGUAAAACUCUGUUAUUAGGGAAGAACAUAUGUGUAAGUAACUGUGCACAUCUUGCCGGUACCUAAUAAGAAAGCCAGGGCUAACUACGUG